CCUUCCCACUCACUCCUCCUGGUGGUGAGUUCGCGAAAGUCGCCGGCCAGGCUCCGGCUGGGGCCCGGGAUGGGGGCGGGACCGACGCGACCCAGGUGCGCGCGUCUCCGGCCGCGCUCUACCCCCGCCCGGGUCCCCCGGGGGUGCUCCCGCGGCGCAGGGCGCACGGGCGGCCCGGUUUCCGACCCGGCGAGCGUGUCCGUCCUCACAAAACGGGAGAAGAACACUUACCGAGUUGUUUGCCGCUGGGGCUGAAGUCCACGGAGAGAGCAGUUACCGAGAUGGAAAUGAGACCGAGGGGAGGAAGGGGGACGAGUCUGUGAUCGAUGCAAUCGGAGUUCUGCUGCACGUUAAAGAGACAGCGCCCACGAAUUUGAAGAGGGUCCGCAACUGCUUAAUGACCGGAGAGAGAGAGAGAGCAAACGAGGCAGAGUGGCAGAGAGAGAAGCAGACUCCCCACUGAGCAAGGAGCCCGAUGCAGGACUCGAUCACAGGACCCUGGGAUCAUGACCUGAGCCGAAGGCAGCAGCUUAACCUACUGAGCCACCCAGGCAUCCCUAUUACCAUGUUUCUUUAUGAUGAAAUUCAUAUGCAGAGAUGUGAAAUUAACUGCUCCAAGUACAUAGUUACAUCAUGAUGCCUUUUGCAUGAUGGCAGGCGUAUUGUAAACAUGUAAAAUUCUGUAUCCUAGUCUAACAGUAAAUUUAAAAAAAAAAAAAGCAUCUGUGUUUCCAUUUCACUGUUCUCUCAGUAGUCCAAACUGCUCCUCCCAUGGUUCUUUUCCAUAUUUGAUUUGACUGUGUUUUUGUUUGUUAUUCCCCACCUUUGCAAACAGCAAAAGCUCAGAGACAGAGAUUUGGAAACAAGGCCAAAGUGGGGGCUAUUUUUUUUUUCCCCUCACCUCAAGCCUGAGGAAUUCACAUAAUUCCACUUGCUACGUUAACUUGGAACCACUCCAAACUACAAAUGUAUUAAUCUGGAAGAAAGCCACGAUAUUUCACACUAUUUGGAAAUCUACAAGAUAGCAUUGGAGGCAAGGUACUACCUAAGACAAACAGAUCCUUUAAUUAGCUCUCCUUUUCUUAAUUUUCCCCUCAAAUUAGAAAUCAAAUGUAUCCACUUGAGCACCAUAAAAGUUUGUUUUUAUGUUAACAGGAGUCUUUCUUAGGUUAGUUCCCUUCAAAGGUUGAAAAUUUAGGGAUAACACAAAAGUGCCAUCUACUGUUCACAUUCUUGUGUGGCACUUGGGAGUGAAACUACUUUGUAUCCUGUAUCCAGGCACUAUAAUUCCUCUGGAUCCAGUUGUUCCAGAGCAUAGGAGAAUAUGUAGAAAGGAAGUUCCAGAUCUGUUUGAAUCAUCAAAGCAUUAGUUUUCACUUCGUUUUGUUUUGAGGACCAUCAGUAAUUCAUUUCAAUCAACAUUCAGUUUCUAAAUCCUGUCAGCCAUAUCCUCACAAUAUAAUUUUUCUUGCCAUCUUUUUGUCCUUGUGGUUCUUGCUUCUCUACAGGCCAUCUUCCUUCUCUGCCUCCUAGGAAAUUUCAUACCAAAAGCAAAAAUUAAUGAGGGAGACUACGUCAAACUAAAAUACAUCUGCACAGCAAAAGAAACAAAGUGAAAAGGCAACUAUGGAAUGGGAGAAAAUAUUUGCAAGACAUAGAUUUGAUAAGGGGUCAAUAUUCAAAAUAGAUAAAAACUCACAUACUUCAGUAGCAAAAUAAAUAAAUAAAUAAAUAAAUCUGAUUUUUAAAAAUGAACAGAGGAACUGUGUAGGCAUUUUUUUUUUCCAAAGAAGACAGGGCAACUGUUAUAGGAAAAAAGUGCUCAACAUCACUAAGCAUCAAGGAAAUGCAAAUCAGAACCACAGUGAACUGUCACCUCAUACCUGUUAGAAUGGCUACCAGCAAGAAGACAAGAUGUGCUGGUGAGGAUGUGAAGGAAAUGUGUGCUGUUGGACUGGUGUAGCCACUCUGGGAAACAGUACCACGGUUCCUUAAAACAUUAAAAAUAGAAAUACCAGGGGCGCCUGGGUGGCUUAGUGGGUUAAGGCCUCUGCCUUCGGCUCGGGUCAUGAUCUCAGGGUCCUGGGAUCGAGCCCCGCGUCGGGCUCUCUGCUCGGCAGGGAGCCUGCUUCCUCCUCUCUCUCUGCCUGCCUCUGUCUACUUGUGGUCUCUGUCUGUCAAAUAAAUAAAUCUUAAAAAAAAAAAAAAUAGAAAUACCAUAUGAUCCAACAAUCCUACUUCUGGGUAUAUAACCAAAGGAAAUUAAAACACAAGAUAUCUGCACUCUCAUGUUCUUUGCAGAAUUAUUUACAAUAGCCAAGACAUGCAAACAAUUUAAGUGUCCAUCAAAAGAUAAAUGGGUGAAGAUGGGGUAUAUGUAAUUGGACAUACAUAAUGGAAUUGUACUCAGCCAUGAAAACAAGAAGGAAAUAUUGCCAAUAGCAGCAAUGUGCAUGGACUUGGAGGGCUUUACACUAAGUGAAAUAAGUCAAAGAAAGAUAAAUUCCCUGUGAUCUCUCACAUGCAGAAUAUAAAAACAUCAAAUUCAAGGGGUGCCUGGGUGGCUCAGUGGGUUAAAGCCUCUGCCUUUGGCUCAGGUCAUGAUCGCAGGAUCCUGGGAUCGAGCCCCGCACUGGGCUCUCUGCUUGAGAGGGAGCCUGCUUCCCUCUCUCUCUGCCUGCCUCUCUGCCUACUUGUGAUCUCUAUCAAAUGAAUAAAUAAAAUCUUUUUAAAAAAUUAAAAAAUAAAAUAAAAUCCAUCAAAC